rnacentral:rRNA from 1 species
AUAUCAAUAAGCGGAGGAAAAGAAACCAACAGGGAUUGCCCCAGUAACGGCGAGUGAAGCGGCAACAGCUCAAAUUUGAAAUCUGGCUUCGGCCCGAGUUGUAAUUUGUAGAGGAUGCUUUUGGUGAGGUGCCUUCUGAGUUCCCUGGAACGGGACGCCAGAGAGGGUGAGAGCCCCGUAUAGUCGGCCACCGAUCCUCUGUAAAGCUCCUUCGACGAGUCGAGUAGUUUGGGAAUGCUGCUCAGAAUGGGAGGUAUAUCUCUUCUAAAGCUAAAUAUUGGCCAGAGACCGAUAGCGCAUAAGUA